UUUUUUUUUUUUUUUUUUUUUUGUCUCCCUGCUUCCAGGAUAAUUAAAAGAGAAACCUGUAAAGGCAACAUUCCUGUGAGCGAGUUGAUGCUGCAACGUGCUGGUAAGAAAACGAAUUUAAUUUUUUUAUCUUUUCUCUUUUUUUUUUUGCCCCCCCCCCUUUUUGGCUUUUCUUUUUUUUUUUUUUUUUUUUUUAAGACACUGUAAUUAUCCUAGACUUCCCUAGUUCAGAUAAUGAAACAGAGUAAAGUGAGUGCUGAGUAAAGUUAUUUUAAUCCCUUUGAUCUAUAACUAGUCAGGAGUUCAUUAGACAGUCAACUGUGGAGAGCCUAGAUGAUUUGGGGACCUUGGACUAGAGAUGCCAACUUUAUUCUUUAAAAGCACAAAUUUUAAUUCAACCCAAUUAAAUUCAACAAGUAUUUGUUGAUCCUGUGCCUGGGACUGGUGCUGCAAUUGUUCUUGCCUGUUAUUCUGUUACGGGGAGAAACUGGAGCUAAGUGGAAUAAAUUCUCAGCAACCGUCUCUUCUUACUACCAUUAGAACUGAUCAGGUCAUUUAAGACACAUUUCAAAACACAAAACUGUUGAUUAUGAGAUAAAGUUCCUAAGGUUAAAUCUACAACUGAUGUACUUCUUUUCCUUCCAUGCGUGUAAUUUUAUGUCAAUUGGCGACUAUGGUCAGUCCAUUUUUUACUGCAUUUUAAUAUUAUAAAGAAGAAAGAAAACAAAGAAAUCUUUCUUGCACACCACACGUCUCAUUUGAAAAUAUAUCCAUGUGGCAAACUUCAUUUGAGCUUAUACAGAUUCUAGCCUCAGAGGCUGGAAUAUACAUGGAAAGGUUUAGGCUUGUCAGUGAGUCUGGUUGGAUUUGGGUUGAGAAACUUAGGAACAAAGAUUUUGUUUUCUCUUUUCUUGCCUUAAAAAAUACAUAUAAAGUAUCAAGGGAUAUGCUCUGCUUAUCCUCCAUUGUCAUUUGUUAGCUGUGUUUUUUUUUUUUUUUUUUUUUUUUUAAUAGGUAAGUAAAAAAAUAAUAGGGUGAUUGUCAGGAAGAGAAUGUAGUUAGCAAAUGUCCAUUAAGACCUUUUUCUAAAGAAAAACUCUCCUAUGAAAGUUUGAAGAUUGCAUGCCAUUUGCAUCUGAUAGAGAAUGUGGCAUUCCAUACGCUGCUAACAUUUGGUCCCCAGUCUCAGUAGCUAUUCUAUCUAAUUGUGUCAUUUCUACAUUUAACAGCUCUGAACCAUGCCGCCCCUUGGGUCCUCACCAAUGCCCCCCAAAUCACUUGAAAUGUCUAGAAAGACCUGGGAACAUUAGAAAAUGUCAAUUGUUAGAAUAAUUUCUGCCUCUUGCAUCAAGAGAAAAUACUAUGGAUUUAAUAGUUCAUUUUUAAAAUCUGUUUUUAUCCGCCAGUAACUGUCUAUUAGGAACAUUUCAGUUAUAAUUGGAAUAAAUUGUUGCCCAGUAACAAGCAACUUUCCAUAGAAUCAGUGACUAGAAAUAGCUACAAAGAGCUAAAUACAAGUCAAACCACAGUAAGGGCAUUUCUUAAUUUUUUUUUUUUUAAAGAUUCACUUCUUUGUAAUUUUACCCUUCUACCUAAAUUAUUAAAUUUGUUACCCACGGUGUCUAGUCUAUGAAAAUGUCUAAUUGACCAAAGUCCCAUAUAUAAAGGAAAAAGGCCAGUAGACUUCUGAAAAACAUUUCUUUCUGAUUCAAAAUAAUAAUGAGAGAGAAGAUAAGCACAACCUCUCAGACUAUGAGUGUUAACAAGAUUCUGGGUAGCAAUACCAUUAUAUGUGAAGAACUGCUAUCAUCUCUUGCAGAACGUAAUGUAAAAUUAUGGGUUUCACUGUAGGACUCUGUCAUUUGAACUAGUAAUCAGUCCAAAUUCUAUAGAUGGCUGCAGUUAAAAUGAUGCUUCCCCCCAUUAAUAAAAUAUUGAAUAACACUGAAAUUACUUUAGAUUUUACCCUAUCCAUUUUUUCAAUAGAAAAAGAACCAGUAAUAACCCCACAUCCCAAUACCUAAGCAUGCAUAAUAUCAGAAUGGCUUUUCUUCUUCCCUUGCUGAAGUGCUAUGACAUUACAAUUUCAAGAGCAAAAUUCUUUAACAGUAGUUCUACACUUGCCAUUCAGCUCUUGUGGCGUUUGGAAUAGUUUUCACCUUAUAAUUGCAUAGAUAGUGAAGUAGAAAAUACCUCAUCGAGAGAAUGAGAAUUGUUAUUUUACACAUAGACAUACAAACAGACAAAAUUAUAUAUGAUGCUAGAAUGGAAGCACAAAGGCAAUGUAAAAAUAUACAUAAUGCUUUUUGAAAUUGUGUCAUUUGCUCAAUUCAUUGUAACUGUUUACUAAGUAUCGGCUAUGUUGAGAUCUGUGGGAAAUUGAAAAGUGAAAAAGCCAUAUCUUGGUCACCUAGGAACUUAAAAUGUAGUUGAAAUUGUAACCGAUACACUAAAAAGUGUAAUUUGAUUAAUCAGCCUGUGGCAAACUUAGCAUAGUGUGAAGCUCUCAGAAUCAAAAAAAAAAAAAAAAAAAAAA
rnacentral:lncRNA from 1 species